rnacentral:lncRNA from 10 species
CUUGAGUCUGGGAGGUUGAGGCUGCAGUGAGCUGUGAUUGUGCCACUGCACUCCAGGCUGGGCAAUAGAGCACCAUUCUGUCUCUAAAUAAAUAAAUACAUAAAUACAUAAAAUGUAUCAGUUGGAAUAGGCCUCCAAAAUAUAGAACACACGUAAAUUUGAAAUAAUCUUUAUUUCAUCAGUGUGAUCCCUUAUCAUAAGCAGAGUAUAACACAGUGUUUCCAGAAAGGGUUUGAAAGGUCAAGACAGACCAUGUAACAUGAGGACUGAUAAGCCAUUUUUAACAUGAUGACUUUUCCCAAGAAAGGCUCUGGAAUAAUCGGAAGCAGUGGAGUUUAAAGAACUAUCUCUUAAGUGAGGAUCAGAACAAACUUCUUUGCCAUUACAGGUUCUUUCUCUUCCUGACACCCACAGUGCCCUGAGUUGGCCUCGUGGGGCCGGCUGGAGCAGGAGCUGGAAUAAGAGGACAGCCUCAGGGGCUUCUGGGUGGGACUGUGGUCUCUGGGAGCUGCUCAGGAUCCACUUGGCUACAGGCAGGCCUUCUGGAUGCUCACACCACAGGUGCUUGUGAGGAGGGGACUUCCACCCUCAGGUCUGUGGGGUCUGGGUGCCAUGUGGAGGAAGAGUUGGCCCAUGUCCUGUAGCAGCUCAGCCACAGCCCUCCACAGAUGGGCCUUGUUACUUACUGGAGGGUUUGCUUCAGAGAUCGCUUCUGUGCCCCAGCCUUGGUUACUCCUCUUGUCUUGGUGAACAUUAAGCCCCGUAUCCUUUCUCUACCUUUACCCAGCUAUGCCUUUUGGUCUUGAGAUCAGCAGCACUUAUUUUCCUGUAGGCCACGGAGAACUUUGUUUUGUUUUUCGAUGUCUCUUCUAGAGGCUUCAGGAGCUGAACCUCACCUUGGAGGUGGCUGAUCACAGUUUGGGCACUAAUAAUGUACAGUCAUUGCACUGCAUUAGUUUCUCAGCUCUCCAGUGCUGGACCUGUCCACUGAAUUAUAUAUAGGGAGGCAGCAUCCUCAACUGGUCAUGGUUUGCUGUGUCCAUGCCAGUUAGUGUUAAGCCCUGACAAUAAAAUGAGGCUGUGCUGGAAGCAGCCCUCCUCACAGUGGACUCGGCAGACACGGUUCCACUGUUUGGUUUCACGUUAUGGGCAAAUGAAGAAGGGGUUUGGUGUGUGACCUGGUCCAUGGUUGUUGUAAAUUAUUUGUUGUAAAAGGGUUUGUUUUAUAAACAUUUCAAAUAUAUCUAGAUUGCCUCAUCCUAUUUUAUUCUUUUCUAGUUUUACAGAAAUAUGCAAAUAAGACUUAAAGCUGUGGACAAGAAGAGGAAUUGAUCCCAAAUCUCAUCAGCUAUGGCAAGGAUAACAUCCCUGCCUCUGGGAGCCUGGCAGCACCUUUUGCAUACUGGUGAGAUUGCACUCUGGCCUGUGCAGAAGAGGAGGCUACUGGAUAGCAUGAGACUCUGUGGUGAUGGGAGAGAGGGCACAGGGUGAGUCUUUUCUCACCCAUUUGGGUAACAAAACAAAGAACCUGAGAAACACCUAAGUUGUGCUUUACAGACUUGAACUCAGAGAAGGAUGAGCUUGGAAAUGCCCAGGGUUCCAUGAUGGUAAGCAUCAAAUUUUUCAAAAGAUGUAAGAAAAGAAAAAUGAAGUCUGAUGCACCCACAAGCACAGCUUUCUGGAUAGUGAACAAAGAGCUAAGAUACACAUCUCUGGGUUCAUUGAAACAACCUCUAGAACAGUUUCACAUAUUUCCUUUUCUCUGUUUCUUUCAGCUCUUUCAACCAAACCAUGAGUCAUUUUCCAAUGUGGCAGUCUAUUCCUCUAUGUUUAAGUCACUUUAGGCAAUUUGUAAACCCAAGUAUGAAGCUUCUAUCGGUCUAGCUUGAAUAGAAGCAUUAACGGAGUGCUUAACCUUUAGACAACUCUUUUGUGAAGGCUGGACAACAGACGGCUUGAUAUUAUCUUUUCAGUAGGGACACGGAAGACCAGUGGUGUGAUGAGGUAGUUGAAGGCAGAUGUGUUGUCCUGAACCAGAUAUAUCUCAACCACAGGACACGGAUCUGCCAAAACCAAUUUAACAGGUGGGCAGCUGUUACUCGCCUCCCACCGCCUCACAGAGUUAGGCUCUGAGCGUGAACGCAGACAACUUUUGUCACAGGAAUUUAUUCCCAGCAUAUGAAUAAGAGAGUCUCCUUAAGAGAGUCUUUAACUUCUUAAGGGCAAAAGAGGACAGUCAAUUACCAGAAAGAAAACAUUGCUAUUAUAUGAUCACUCAUGAAUGUCCAGAGGAUGAUAUGUAACAGCUUUGUUUUCUAUUUUUCCAUCAAUGCAGAAUCCUUCUCAGGAGCCCUCUCCUCUGGUCUCCUUUCACUAUCUCUGUGUCCUGCUUACCUUCUCCCAGAACCCUGGCUCUCAAUCUGUUGUUCCAUUUAGUUUUACCACCUGUAAAAUUUCUGUGAAAUCCACAGGGUCCUAUUGGUUUUGAAACUAGCUUUAGGUUCUUCAAAACUCAAACAUGUUCAACCUUUGUCUUACUAAUAGUGCCCACUUUUUAUUGAAUGAUUGUGAUGGCCUAUGCAGUCCUAUGCAAAUAGAGAUACUUAUUUUUUUAAAAAGGGUUUCUGUGUAAAAGAGUGGUGAGGCAGAAGAGAGUGACAAUGCGGGGGAAACACCCUGAAACCUGCCUUGUGGUAUUUGAAACUAGGCCAUUACAAUGACUGAAUUCUUACCAUUUUUUUUAGAUUUUCAACCAACAGUCUUCUUUCAUUCAUGAUAUCAGCAAAUUAACAAAGUGCAGCUAAUGUAAAUAACUUUCAUUUUCCAUUGUCCAUUUUAAAACAAAGAGGUCAUUCUCUGAUAGUAGAUGCAUAGAUGGUAUGUUCUACAUCAGUUUUUGUUUUGUUUUCCAAAUAGUCUGUUUUGUCUUUCAGAGGUAGAAUUACCAAAUCUCUGAAACUUAAAUCAACCCAAAGACAAAAGUAUGUUUUAUUUUGUUUCAUUUGUUUUAGUAUGAAUAUAUAGUACUUUAAAAGAAACAUCAUAUACAACUCGAUUAAUAUGAAUUCAUAAUGUUGACAUUAGAAAUAGGCCAACAAUCAUUCUAAAGUGAAACCAUCUUUAUUUUGAAAAUUACCAAAUAUUUUCUACUUUUUAAGUUAUUAUUAAUAUAUAACUCUGCCUAUUUUUUCAGAGUAAUUGACGAAGGUAAGACUAAAACAAAUGAAUUAAUGAAUAAAGGAAAAAAGAAAGAAAGAAGAGGCAGGUGAUACAAGGAUGCAAAUACACAGGCCCAUAUAGGCUUACAUUGCUGCAAACAUAGUUAAAUUUGGCUCUUAGCCCCCUGGCAGUCAAAGCAAAAGAGGGGAGAUAUGGUCAGUUGCAUAGUUCUUAUUAUUAGAUGAGAAGAAACAUGCUAGUUCCUCAGGGGAAGCGAAUGUAUUUUUCUUGUACUAAUGUCUCAAGCAAAUCAGGCUGGUGGGGCCUCACAUGGGAAAUGCUGAGUGAUGUUAUACACACUGAACUUAACAGGAGUCCUACAAGCAAGGCUAGAGUCUCCUCCUUAGAAACCAAGGGCACAACCUUAAAAUGCAAUCCAGUUUAGGCAAUUUGUAAACCCAAAUAUGAAGCUCUUAUCGGUCUAGCUUGGGUAGAAGCAUUAACAGAGUGCUUAACCUUUAGACAACUCUUUUGUGAAGGCUGGACAAUAGACAGCUUAAUAUUGCCUUUUCAGUGGGGACAAGGAAGGCCAGUGUUGUGAUGAGGUAGUUGAAGGCUGAUAUGUUGUCCUGAACCGGAUAUCUCAACCACAGCAUAGGGAUCUGCCAAAACCAAUUUAACAGGUGAGCAGCUGUUACUCUCCUACCAACACCCCACAGAGUUAGGCUCUGAGUGUGAGUGCAGACAACUCUUCUAGUAGAAAUUUACUCCCAGCAUAUCAAUAAAGAAUUAAGUAUUCACCUUCUGCAAACAGAAUAUUUACUUGGGGCCCAUUUAGCUGGGAUCAUUCCCAUGAAGUCACAUGACUAAGGUUGGAACACGUGGCAAAGCAUCGUCUCACUCAGUGGUGCACACCAUUGGCUACUUUUCACUAUGUGAGCUUUGCAAAGUGAUGUUACUGAGACCCACCCAGAGGGAUCCAAGUGCCUAUGACAUUUGAGGCACUUGCCUGGACUGUGCUUUCCUGAACCCCUCUCCAGAAUCUGGGUCUCAGAGACUUGUCUCUUGCUGAUCAAUACAUUCAAUCUAACAUCCCCACAAAGAUGGAGUGUAUUUCUGAUUUUAUGAUGCAUGCAAAUAAGAUGUUCAAAAUUAAGUUUAAAUUUCAGCAAGUUCCUUUCUGUUUCCCUUUAUAUACUCUCUCUUUGAUAUAAGUGGAGCCUUCUCUCUACCCAGGAAGACCUUUCCAAUCAAGAGCUACAUAGGCAAGAUCCAAGUUUAUUCAAGCAUAGCCAGACAAAUCUGUCUUAAUUUAUGAAUGAUUCAUUGAUACAAAAUGAAUAGAGAAGUCCUUCUUGAGCAAGGAUUGAUAGGACAUUUUGAUAUCUUCAUUACAUCAAGAAAUACUAUGUAGAAUGUGAAAGUCUUUCUGAUACUUCUAAAUACCAAUGUUCAAUUUAACAUUCACCGGGCUGGGGGACAUCAGUUCAAGGGUUAAUGUGAAGGAAAAACAAUUGCUUUCCACAAGUCCAGGAUAUCCCUUCUGAUGAUGGUCUUAAUUAAGAUGAGUGAGUAAGUCAGCCUCACAUAAAUGCAGUCUAAACCUGCAUCUGACAUCUUUUCAAAGGAUCAAAAUACUGAACAGCAUGAAACACGGCAGUUUGACCUCUCUUACUUUUAACUUCUAUCUUGAUGAUUUGCAACUACUUCUAGAUCUAGAGGCACAUCUGCCAGAAACAACGAAGAGAAUGAAUACACAUUGAUGACUGUAUAUAAGCAGAAUGAAUCAUACUAGGAUUAUCGAUAUAUGUAAGCAAUAUUCCCCCAUAUUUAUGCCAUAGAAUGCCAUUUGCCAUUAUUAAAUUUUGUGUGCAAAUACAUUUGGAAAGGAGUAUUCCAUUUAAUUUAACAGAGCUUUCUUAAGAGAAACACAAAAACAUUCUUCCCCAAUACAAAUUGGCUCCAGGUAAGGCAUAAGAGCAUAUCCUGCUAUUCAGGUUACAGAUGUAAUUAUUUCAUUCCUAAAAGCAGAGAAUAAAUAGAUGUUUAAAAAGUAUCAAUUGGAGUUUAAUACCCAAGUAGACAAUGCAUUUGCUGCAUUGGGAAGACUAAAAAUUGGGACUAGUAAAAAUCAAUGAAGAAAUCUAUCUCCAUCUCAUUAGGAAGCUGAAUUGGGAUAGGACAUGUUCUUGUUCAGUGGGCCAAAGAGCCUGAUGAUAGUCUCCACUUGGGGAGUCCAUGAUACCUUUACAUUCACCAAAAGUAUCUCUCACUUCUGGGUACAAAAAAAAAACCAAUAUUCUUGAAAAGAAUAAGCAUAAUACAUACAUGUGGGAAUAAUUCAAAUAAUAAUUAGGUAAAUUUUGAAAUGAUAUAACUUGGAAGAGACAACAUGUGAAAGUACAGGGCUGGGGCAACAUAAUAAUGUUUCUUUGUUUAUAUGCAAUUCCCAGAAAAAGGUGUAGUUGAUGCUUAAAAUACAAUCCCCUUGGUUUGGUCAGUUUCUUCUUCGACAUUAUUAUAAGGGGAGGAAGCUGGAAAUAAACUCAUCUCCAGAUGAUCUUCCUGGAAACCUGCCUAAAAGAGUGGUACACAGGUUUGAAAAUAAACAAGCUGGGCAGAUUAGGGUAGAAAAGUUUCCAGGAGCUGAUCCAUAACACUUCUAUCUAACAAGAACAUUGAACUCAGCUGUGUUCCUUAUCAAAAGUCAACCCGGAGCCAUUGUGUGAUCAGCCCAGGAAGAGCCAACUCACCCACCCUUUUCCCAUUGUAUUGCACACUCUUUUCAUGACAUGAAUGGAUUUUUUAACCUAGAACUUCUCACUAGUAAUGCAAGUAUGCUGUCUUGAGCAAAACUCUCCAUUUUUCUGAUGUGUGUGUGUGUGUGUGUGUGUGUGUGUGUGUGUGUGUGUGUGUGAUUUACCUUUGAAGGAAUUCGUAUAGUAGGGGUUGAGGGUUCUUGGUGAGCACAGUCUAUUGAACUGAAUAUUAUGCAAUCUGAAGGAUCUUGAGAUACCAACUGUCCACUUGAGGCAAACAGGACAGCAAGCACACUACCUUCUUUCUGAGAGGUGAAGCCAGCUGGGUUUCUGGGUCAGGUGGGGACUUGGAGAACUUUUCUGUCUAGCUAAAGGACUGCAAAUGCACCAAUCAGUGCUCUGUGUCUAGCUAAUUGGGUAGGGAACUUGGAGAACUUUUCUGUCUAGCUAAAGGAUUGUAAAUGCACCAACCAGUGCUCUGUGUCUAGCUAAAGGUUUGCAAAUGCACCAAUCAUCACUCUGUAAAAAUGCACCAAUCAGUACUCUGUGUCUAGCUAAGGGUUUGUAAAUGCACCAAUCAGCACUCUGUAAAAAUGGACCAAUCAGCACUCUGUAAAAUGAACCAAUCAGCUCUCUGUAAAAUGGACCAAUCAGCAGGAUGUAGGUGGGGCCAAAUAAGGGAAUAAAAGCAGGCCACCCAAGCCAGCUGGGCAACCCACUUGG